CUUAGAAAGAAUACCAACACUCUGGACUGUGACCUCUGUUCAGCAAUCUGGGAGUUUUGGGAAAGAGAGAAACAAUCAGAAGGCCAGAGGGCAAUAUCCUGCCGUGGAGAAGGAGCUGCCCUACCAUCUGCUGAUUCACACCCUCAACACACUGGCCAAGGUGGAGAGCAGUAAGAGAAGGGCCACAAAAGCUGCAACUUCCCUUUGUAAGUUUACAGUAACCAACCCAGCUAAUAAACACAGUUACUAGCAGUUACUUUGUAGCACAUUCAAAAUUGCCAGGUCCAUUGCCAGGCACUGGUGGCAUAUUUCACCACUCAAGAGGCAAAGGUAGACAAUUUCUAAGUUAGAGGCCAGCCUGGACUACAGAAGUAGUUCCAGGAUAGCCAAGGCUACACAGAGAAACUCUGCCUCAAAAAACUAAAAAGAAAUGCCAGGUUCAUUUAAAAGACAAGAGAAACUUUUUUUUUCCCUCUUUUUUUUUUCUGGAGCUGGGGACCGAACCCAGGGCCUUGCGCUUGCUAGGCAAGCACUGUACCACUGAGCUAAAUCCCCAACCCGAGAAACAAGUUUUUUGACUAUCUAAUAAUCAUUUACCAAGUUCCUAACAUAAACAGAGCAUCAGGAAGGAUCUGAAGUGAUGCGAGACCAGCUUUGAUGGCUCAGACCUGUGAUCUCAGAACUGGGAAGGCUGAGACAGACCUCAUCCUCAGGCCUGCACCAUUAUGGGCGGUUAUGGGAAAAGAAAAAUGACCCAGAGAAACAAUUACAAUAACAAAAAAUGAAAAUGCAUAAGAAUAUUAGAGCAGAGAAGUGUUCCCAGCAGGAAAAAUGCACAUUUACAAAAGAAGUUGUGCCCCAAAGGAUGGAGAUAAAAAGAAUUAAAUAAGGAAGAUACAAGAAAACACAAAGUGACGGGAACCAGGUACUGAUAGACAAGAAAACAAGGAAGGAAGCUAGCUGUGUUGUAGUUAGCACAUCGGGGUCUUCUGAGGUCAUCUAGACACUCAGUCGGCUACAGCGUCUAACUCUCACUGGCAGCUGGCAGCAUUCGAAGACUGAAGAAGGCUCAGAGCAGGAGAGAGCACGAGAUACUACACCAUGAACGAGGCUGGGUGUGAGGCUGGAGAAGAGAGGAGCCAGGCCAUACCAAAGCUGGAUGCUUAAACACUCAAGGAUUUCUGUUCCCAGAGUAACAGCAGAAAGCUCCUACCUUGACAAUAUCCAGUCCUCCAACAAGAUCCCCUCUCACAUACAGCUGAGGGUAGGUUGGCCAAUUUGAGAACGUUUUUAAUCCCUGACGCACCUAAGGAAACAACAGAAAUCCUGAAUCCUUCCCCUCAGACCCUGUGAACAAAGCUAAAACGUGGGAGGAAACAGAGAACCUAGAACUUACUUCUUCAUCCUCCAGUAUAUCAAAAGUCUCAUAUUCAACCCUGCAAAAGGAGAAAGCAUUUUACUAGGUGUUCAUUUUAAACAAACAAACAAACAAAAAAAAAAAACAUAAAAUCUACCUAGUGUUUUAAUAAGGUCAAGAAAAGCAGUCCAGCGCUAACAGAGCUUACUCUAGAAAAUCUGCUGUAAAGCAAAUGGAAAUGACUUUUACUGUCAGACUGGUCAUUCGAAGACAAAAAUCACUCAGUCUUUUGAUGACAACACUAGCUACAGUGGGACCUGCCAAAUUUCUCCUAAAUAUUUAUGGGCACAGUAGAAGACCAAGAUAUCUGUGUGCAGUCAGAGGACAACUUACACGAGGAGUCAAUUCUCUCCCUCCAGUAUUUGGGUCCCAGGGAUCAAACUCGGGGCAUCAUUCUUGGGGACAAGCACCUUUAUCCUCUAUACCAUCUUGCUGGCCCCAACAUUUCUUUACAAAGAGCCAUUUUUUUGAAGGUCACAUUCAGACUGUGCUAUAUACUGCCUUCCAUCCUGCAACUUCAGAUCUACAACUUCAGAAAACAGGCUAUCUAUUCAAAGUAUGAUCAGAACACAUAUUGUAAUUUGAAAAGCAAUCAUGAAACAUUUGAAAAUCCAAAAGAACAAAUGCUGUGGAUCCAAGAAGAUGGAUUUGGUUUUAACCACAAAAGCCAAUCAGGGAGUCCCCGCUGGACAAUUCCAACCCAGCUCCAACCCAGGAGCAAGCAGAGACUUAGAUAGUCCAUCCUACUCCACACAAAGCAUCCCCAGGACCUGAGUCACAGGCAGCUAUGAGAUGCCUGAAAUGGGUGCUAGGAACGACUCUCAUCUUCUUAAAUCACUGAACCAUCUUUCCAGCUCUGAAAGCACAGACUUCAAAUAAAAGCUUAGAUUAUGUGAUAGUCUCCCUGCAUUUUUUUAUGCAUGGUAAGAACAAGGAACUGAAAAUUCCUUUUUGGUCUAAGUUAAAGCAUUGAAAAUACACUAUAAAAAUUAGAAAUGUGUCAAUAAAUAUUAUACAAAUAUGUUUAAACAUUAAAACUGAAGUAUCAGUAGCAGAAUGGAACAAAAGAUUUACAUACCCAGUACUAUUCAGUAUUUCCAGAAUUUGUUUGCUGAAUCCACAUUUUGCUUCCUAAAUUAUAUUUAAAAAAAAGUACAUUGUGCAUUUGUUUCCACAGUUAGCGCCCGACCACUCUGUGGGCAGCUCCUGUGCUUCUUCCGUCCCCUCUGACAUCAUCCCAAACGACCUUCCCACCGACACUGGCUUUAACCUUUUAAGUCGAGUGACACGCAGCAGCUUAAGAUCUGUGUGGUCGAGGUGGUCCCCACAUAACAUGCAGAUCACCCACACAGAGUCCCCUGACUCUUCUCCUUACCAUAUGCAAAAUGACAGAGCACAGUUAAGCCAGACCUUUGCAUUGCGACACCAGCUAUUUGAAGUGACUGAAAUCCUACGCUUUAUGUCAGGGCGAGUCCCCCAAGCCCCAGCCAUCUUGGGGAAAAAGACUGACAAUACACAAUAACCUAAAAGCCCCCAGGACACCAUUCCCAAGACAUACAAACUCUUCCUAGACGGGCACAAGGAAUGUGGAGAAUCAAAAGUCUGCUUUCAGCAGCCAUGGAGCCAGAGUACCACUUCAUCAUUACUACACGUUAUCACCAUUGUGCUUUGUCCCAGUCACAGAGUCUGUGUCCUAACACAGUGGGGUCUAUAUGCUAACAUUAAUAUUCGUGCUUCCUUAUUAUUUUCAUCACACUAGCUACAUUAACAGUUGCUGCUUUAACUAAUGGCCUUCCCUGUGUUGAUACCAUGGCAACCUGAGGUUAAAACAGUCCUAUGGCAUCAAUAGAUCCAUUCACAAAAAGGCACAUGGGAGGCAAGGGUCACCUGCCAAAGGUGGCUUGUCCAGAGCCCGAGCAGCUGCCUCACUCCACUGCCUCAGCUUUCUGAGAUUUAGUCUCCUUAUCCUGAGAGAAAAGCAAACUGCACAGCUUUGCCUGCCUGAAGUUCAACAGCUGAGGCUCAACUGUUAACUUCAAAGUGUAAGACAAAUGACAGGACUAGUUUUUUGAAAUUACCAAUCUAAUCCCAACACAGGGGAGAAUCUGCUUUCACCACUUAAUGAGUGCAAGGAAAGCUAGCAAACUAAUUCAGUAUGUACUUUCAUCGGACUACAAGAACCAAUCAUGCUCCCUCAGAGCACUAAGGCCACUGUCAGGAUUUAUUUCCUACUCUGUGGACCUAAGGACAAGACCCUCAGGACUACCAGGGACAUUCACCUACCCACAGUCCACAUCCUCAAAAAAGGUCCUGGCUAAGUGUUGGCAGUGUUGACCACUUCAGCUGACAAAGUUUGGCAGCAGAAAGAAAUGCACCCUGCUGAGAUGCUGAUGAUAAAGUCAAGCAAAAUGGAGAUUACUUUGUUUGAUCUCCAUAAGCACCAAUUAAAGCCUGGAUAACUUCCUGAUACCACUACAGCUUCAUUAGCUAAACCAGAAAAAAAGACUUAACUGUCCCCUUGCUGCAGAUGUUAACAUCAAAAGAAAUUACAAAUAAAACCAUUUUUGAGUUCUUUACCUGUUUGUUUCCUUUCAUAAAGAGCAUCACAGAAGCUUUAUUGGUCAGCACUUUGAGCCUGAAGAGAGAAAAUUGAUAUAAAAUGGCUCAGCUCAAUUAUUAAACACCACUUCUGCUCUGCUUCAUGAGUAGCAGGCAUAUUUGAGGGAUAGCAGGAUGACGGCUCACAGCUUUGAGUGGUACUAAACAAGCAAAAGCAUUGACACUUUCCUUUAUUUCAUGCGCUCCCUGAGCCACUGUAAAACAUAAUAUGGCUUUUUAAGGCAACGAAUGUUCUUUCAAGUUGCAAUUUAAGCCCAUCAACUUGUAGUACUAAAAAAAUAAUAAUAACCAAUUCAGUAAGGAAUUAUUCGAUGGGGGGCCUGUGUACCGAGCCAUCUACCAGUUCCUAAAAUGAAGCAGUGAGCACUUCCCAUCACGAUGGUGCAUAAUGCUCUGCACACCAGAGCAGGGCAGUGAGCCUAAGAAAGCAAAAUCCUAGUCCUCCACCCACACUAACCACAAGCAAUAAACAGUUCUUGUUUUAAUCUUAUAUACCACCUGUCAAAAAGCACAAUCUAACUUGCUAUCCAUCAGGAAUGUUAAUCACCCAAAUUUGGAACAAAGUUUAAAUCUUCAGGAAAAAAAAUCAGUAUACAGACAAUGGGUCACAUCAUUUUCUCUUCACUUUUCUCAUGCUGUGGAGGCCGCACAGGUCAAAAUCUUAUAGAAGAAAGCUGACUCUGGUCAAGUACACAGAUCACACAGUCCAUGACACUUACACUUCCAGCCCCUCCACAGGAACAAAGCUAGCCAAGCCCACUCACCAGAUGAUCUAGCCACCGAAACCAAGCUAAAUCAUCUCCAGUAAUACUCGUCAUGUUGCUAGACAGGAGCUCCUUAAAUUGCUACCCAAAACAUGUAGCUCUAGUCAGGAUCUGUGUGUGCCUGAAGCAGGGAGAGCCAGAAGCAGCACUUUAGGAAAGAAGAUUUGAGGAAGACCGGGCAACAGCAGCAAGGACAGUGUCAGAGGCAAUCCAGGGGUAUGAAAUGCAGAGCCUCCCUAGGAGCAGCACAGCCUCAGGGGGCAAGGAUAUCAUGGGCCAUGAUAAAGACCACAAGCAGGCCCGUGUGGUAUCACAACACCACUAUCUUCUCAUCACAACAGAUGAUACAGGGUACAGACCAGUGGCAUUGGGCCAGCGUGACAUAUAUAGAAUAUUGUUCCUAAGGAGUACUUGGAUUAAGUUUAGACAAAUGUUCUUUAUUAAAUACACAUAGAAAUUCUCAAAAUGUGAAAUAGCAAGAAAAUUACAAACUCAAGGCCCAAUAAUUGUUGAGCUCUGAUGCAUUUCAAGAUAAAUUAUUUUUAAUUAAUAUAAAAAUGUGAAUUAAUAAAUUCACAUUUAUUACGAUAGAAUUCCCUUCACAUAUCCCUCUAUACCAAAAUCUACCAUUUCUACAAGACUUCUAAAGCCGGCUGUAAUGCCUCAUAAAUAGAAAGAUGGUUUCACAGCUCCAGAGUCUGCCUGAGUUUUGUGACUAUGGCUUAAAGAAGCCUCUGAGAACCCUAGCUUUUCCCAUUAAACUCUUACCACAUUCUGGGACUGAACACAGCACUUGAGGGGCACACAAAAACAGAGGUGCUAUGCUCAUACAAAAGAGCAAGAACCAAAUAGGACCCUGGACCCACUGAAAGUGACAUUUCUACAGUAUCAAGUACACUCUUCAUAAUUGCUAAAACACCUCCUGUCCACACGAGAGCAUCCCAAGUUUGCAAGACAAGGUGCUAAGGAACACCACAUUAUAACCCAAACAGGCAAACACUAAAUGUUUGGUGUCUACUCAGAACAAUGCCUUAACAAGAUUUGUAGACUGUUAAGAUAGACAGAGCAUACUGCUGUCAGAUUUCUAGCACUUACCUUUCCUCUAACUUGGGUGCUUUGGGACAAAUUGUAUCUAGUUCUUCUGAUGCUUCCAGCUCCUGAAAGAAGCACAUUGUGACAACAUAAACCACCAUGACCAGCCCCACUGUGGCAUACUGACAAAUGUCUAUCAGAAAUACUGAGUUCUCAUUAGUAAAUCCUGAGGUACAGUAAGAAAUAUGUGCUUUCAAUUUAUUACAACGCUUUAGAAAAGGGUGCUCUAAACAAAGUAUCUUUAUGAAGAAUCUAACCUUAAUUAUGUCAAGUCCUCCUAUGAGCUCUCCAGAAACAUAGAGCUGAGGAUAGGUGGGCCAAUUAGAGUAUGUUUUGAGCCCCUGUCGAACUUCUUCAUCUGAGAAGAUAUCAAAACUGCUGAACUGAAUAUUGUGUUUGUGAAGGAUUUCCACCAUCUGCUUGCUAAAACCUGCAACAGAACAAGAACAGAGAUUCAGCAUCUCCCGCAUACCAUGCCACCCUUGCCUGCGUAGUGACUGAAUCAGCAUAACUGGAUAAUAUAAGACAAAGUAAAUACUAAAAUUCGGUUGACCUAGAGCCUCACGCAGAGCAUAAUUACAGUGAAGUGUGUGCUUAUCAAAGCUGCCCUUUGGGCUGGAGAGAUGGCUCAGUGGUUAAGAGCACCCGACUGCUCUUCCAGAGGUCCUGAGUUCAAUUCCCAGCAACCACAUGGUGGCUCACAACCAUCUGUAAAGGGAUCUGAUGCCCUCUUCUGGUGUAUCUGAUAUCUGAAGACAGCUAUGGUGUACUUACAUAUAUAAUAAAUAAAAUAAAUUAAAAAAAAAAAAAAAGCUGCCCUUUAACUGGAGGCACAGCAUCGUCUGUCAAAGAGCAGAACCAGGAAAGUCUACCACAGACUCCGCCCUGACAGUGACAAAGCCUCUAUGGCUGCUUCCUCUCACUCACCAGCUGACCAGGGACCUAGAACAGCUGUUUUCACCACUGGUUGGCCACAGUGAGACCCAAGUGCACUUGCUCCCUCCCUCCCUCCCUUCCUUCUUACUACUCUAGCAAGCCUGGCUGUGCGCACACUUCUGCAGGUGCUUCUCAUUUCACCUCUGAGUAGGAUAAUGGGAAUCAGAAUCAGAGGAGCUCACUUUGGGUCUGAAAUCAGCAAUCCAGUCAAUGUCAAACCAUCUUUGUUGUUACAUGUAAACUGUUUGUAGACUGAGGUCUUUCCUUCUCAGCUUUUGUUAUGACUUGACAGAUUCUUUACUAAAACUAUCUACAUUCCCUUUACUGUGUAGGAUGACAGUUUUCUUUAAGCUACACUAUACUGGCAAAUGUGUCCUAGGAAUUUAGAAUUUGGUGAAGCCAUCUUCUUCCAGGGUUCUCAUCAGUCUUAUGAACCUAUCAGUAUAGACUGAAAAACUGUCACUUUUCUUCCCAGAUGCUAAUUCUUACCAAAAAUCAGAACCACCUUCCUCUUUCUCACUUCACCAUUCUUUGAAAGAUACUCUUACUUCACUGGAAUGUAAACUAUUCUUCCUUUAAGAUUUCCCCACAUCAGCAAUUAUUUUCAAAUAAAAACAAAUCAUGACAUUCAGUAUAAGAGGAACUGCAAUGGUCUUACCUGACGUCACCCAAAAGUACAUUUACUACUAAGAACAUGGAUCAGAGCUGAGCUCCAAAAGCUUCCCAGCUCUGCCGUUUGCUGAGAUGAAGCUCUAGGAGGAGUGUGCAGCACAUAAGCUGCUUUUCCUACAACUGAAGUGUGGCGUUCAUGCACAGCCUGAAGUCAAACACUGUUUCUGAAUGUUUUCACUCAUCUGGGAGUUCAUUAGUAAACAGCUAACGGCUGACUGCUGAUGGUUAUUCUGUUCCCAAUAUAUUAGCUCGUUUCUACUGUAACUGGCUGAGAAAAGGCUUUAUUUUGGCUUUAGGCAAUUACAUGCAGACUAGAAAGAUUGAUUGGUAGGGUUUCAUUUUUAAGGGUUAAAGUGGCAGACUGGAAAUGUUAUGCUUAAGGAUAAAGUAGUAAUAAGGCUUUAUUCUAAUAACAAAAUAUUUAUACACUCCAGAAGAAAAAUGCAUGCAUGUAACAGAAGCACUUAAAAGUUUAAAAAAAAAAUCUCAUUUACCACGAAAUCACCAUUUCUAUGUGCAGUCAUUUCCACUUGUGACAUGAGUAAUAAGCCUAACUGCCACCUUUAAUAACUACCGAAAGCAGACCCUAAGAGUAUUUCUGCACUUGUGCUUUGCAUCCAACUCUCAACACUCCACAGCCAAACAUCUACCAGAGCUUUACCUGAAAUGGCUAUGAGUCCCCAAUAACCUUGUUACCCUGCUAAAGAUGCUCAAUGAUUAAAAACUUCCUUGAAAGUAAGCAAGUUCUCUUCCUACCAGUAUGAGAAGCCAGAGCGGCAUCUCACAUCUGUGCUUGUAAGUCACCAUAAAUUCUGCAGAUGGAGUCUAUAAGGAAAGCAUAAGGUGCGGCUGUGGCCUGUAUUGUUUCUAGAACAGACAGGCUCUGGAAACAGUUUCCCACUUUCUAGGAUAUGAAGUGCAAAUGUAAGUUUUCUGGGUAACACAAGCAAGGUCAGGGCCACCAAUUCAAAUGCAAGUAUAACCCUACUCCACAACAGAUGCUGAGCCACAAGCAGAGUAGUUUGAGUGGCAGAGUUCUCUCAAAAGCAACUGCUUCGUGAGAGAAACCUCAAGACCAAAGAGAUGGCCCAAAGGGGCUAGCCCACACUCACAUUGGUGUAGCAGUAUGGAGCACAGUCAAUUAUGUGCUAGGCAGCUCACUUCUGUUUCCCAAAGACAGGAAAUGGAAGGUGAAGAGCGUGCACAGUCCUGCACAGAAAGCAGAGGUGACCGGGAGACCCCAUGCACAGGUUUUCGGCUGCCCCGACACAGACACUCCAUUACGUACUUUCCAAUAACCUGCUGCUCUAUGUGCCAGGAAGGAAGACACAUAACACGAAACCAAAUGUCAGGGAAAGGGAGCUUACUAGGACUGUUAGAAAAGUUACAAAGAUGGCACCAAAAAGAACUGGCAGUUAACCCUUUAUGCAGCUAACAAUCUUUUUCUUUACUUUUUUUUUUUAUCAGCCAGUGGCUAAAAAUCUUUUUUAUUGUGCUAAAAUAUCUAAAUUUUCUUUUUAUUCUAUUUGUCGUCAGAAUGUCACAACAUUUAAAAAAAAAUCCUCAAAAAAUAGGUCAUAAAUUCAGUUUAGAGAAAUAGACUAUUUCUAAAUAAGCCAAACUUAGAAAAACAAGUAAUAUAUUUUCCUUUGUAUGCAGAAACUAGAUUUAGAAUUGUGUUUGUGCUUUAGUGUCAGUGUAUGAGUACCUGUUUGUAUACAGAUGUCCACAUGCAUGUCCCCAUGAAGAAGCACCAGCUCUGACAGUGGGAAACAGAGAGGUGAGAUACCGGGAACAAGAAAGCAGCAGAGAGCUGACAGAGGAAAGAGGAGAACCAACUGGAACCAGAAGAGGCUUCAGACGGUGGGGGAGGGGCAACGAUCCUAUCACAGUCCAAUGUAUGCUUACCUAAAAGUUCAUUUCUAAAAA